CUCAUCUGACAAACAGUAUCCAAUGGACCAGUGCGACAUAGCAGUCCAGUGCUCUAGUCCAAUAUUCGAGAUUUUUCUGUCGUCUGCAAUCUGAUAAAGGAUUUUAUUGAUUAGGCUAAAGUUUGUUGUCGACACUUUAAAUAAUGUACCGAAAAGGACAGACACAACAGUGGCAAGAAGUUUUGCUGAAUUUGCAAUUAGAAGGCGGAGCUUGCAGUUUAAAACAGUUUUCUCCGAUACUACAACAGCAGGAGCCUCCUCAUCCACGUGUACAAGAUUUUCUACAUUGGAUUUUUACAGAACAGGUCAAUAUCCCUCACUCGUUCCAUUUUCUUUUAUCCGCUUUGUUUUACCAAUUACUUUUGCAAUACGGCAAACACUAAACAAACGAUACUGGCUGACAACAUUUAAGGAAAUCGCAAAUUAUCCAGUGUACGUCACGUGGAUCGUUUGGGUGGGUUAAUUACGUAAUUAACAACACCUGGCGUCAUUCUUGCAUUAUGUGAUAUCUGAUUUAUCAAACGAUUAACGGAGUAUAAGACAACAAUCCUAGAAUGAUGUCGCGGAGCCAUCCUCCAUCCGGUAUUUUGAUCCUUGUAAACCAAAGAUGAUAUUUUAGCAUUUGCCCCCAUUCAGAUCGUCUAUUAAUUAGUGAUGGAAUGGGAUUUCGUUCCCCCCCCCCCCACAAAGUACUACAUUCACGUUAUUCAACUCCAACGGACGUCUGUGAUCUCAAUUUGUGUUGAUUAGAUACGCUAGAUAAAAUUGCCAAUUUCAUCCGAGAUUUCCCUUUCUCCCGUUGUGUAAUCUUGACAUUUGCAAUUGCUCCCCAAUGCGUUUCGAAGCUCUCGUGUCAUAAAUUUGUUUUGUUUUUUAAGGUCCAGCAACCUUCCCAAGAAAAUUACCUCAUCUAACGUCUUUUUUCCGUGACUUUUAUACUUAAAAAUUGUGUGAUGAAAGAUAAUUUGAUAUCUUAUUCAUACAUAGGGGCGCUAACGUGGAAAAAAUUUCAGUAAAAAACAUGAGGUUGUUAGGAAUCGAUCAAGUUUCAAUCAGAGCCAAUGACGUUUCACAUGUCAGCCGCUAGACUUGGAAUUCUCUCACGCCAUCAUUUAUUAUAGCUCACACAGGAAAAACUUGUGAAGGGGUGGUCUAGAUGGGUAAAUAAGUUUUCUUGGAAAUGUCCAAAUCGAUCGUGUCUCAAUUCCAAAGUUUGAAAACGGGCACCACCAAAAUGUAAUCUCUUGAUAUGUAAAAGAUGUGUCGUUAUCAGACGAGAUUCAAAGAUCAAAACAUCAAGACAAUAACAUGUUGACAACAAAUGUAUGAUAGAUUUUGUUACAGAUGUACGAUUAAGUAGAUUUGCUUAAAUUAUCCAGAGGGGUUGAUGUAAUGUUAAUUGCGUAGUUUUUCUGGCAAUAAUAAACAAAGGGCUGGGAGUGUUUGGAUGUUGCGUAACUGCGUAGUUCAAGAGAAUAACAAACAAGAACUCGGCUAGACUUACGACGACGUAAACAUCAGCUACGCCUCAAAUUCUUAUUGAAUAAAUAUAUCCAAUUGGCUAAAAAUGAAUUUGUGAAAUUGCUCUGCUAACAUGUUUUCCUUCUUUUCUUAGAGAACUACUAAUUAGAAUUGAUUCAUGUUAUAAAAGCAGAUGACCUUUAGCAGGAAUCAAUUCUUUAGAAAUGACUGACAAAGGCAGUAAUUGCGUUAUUGUUAUUUAAUGGAUUGUUCUCUUCGGAGAUGAAAAGCCCGUUCCCGGCGACCAUCAGUUUCCCGACCGCUUUAAUGUCAAAUACGUUAACUCUCUGCCAGCCAAACUAUUUUCGGUUAACUGUAUAUUUUAUAUACAGUGGCGAAUCACACACUUUGUACUGGCCACUAUCAGAAUGUUUUUUUUUAUCUAUGUCCUGUUUCUUUUUGUGUGGAUUCAUCACGGAAAAAUUGAUGAUAUGCAAUUGCUAUUGGGAUCGCACUGAGAUAGACCCAGUUUUCUGACCUCAUUUCAACAGCAAAAUUUAGUCAACAAUUUGAUGAACUUUAAGAGUUAAAACCCAAAACAAUUUAAACAAUAGAAAAUAUUCUUUCAUGUCA